UCCUUCCUGUGAACACAGCAUGCUGCAGAUGUGUGCUUUGUGAGAGGUUGGAUUAGAUCAUCUCCAUGGAAAGGAAAUACUGUGUCUCCUGGAGGUAUGGGAGGCUCAAUGACAAGCCUCGUGUGGCAGGGUGGAUCCUCGGCCGGAGAACCGCUUUGGAGAAGAGAGACAGGGAGAUGCUCGACUGUGCCACCACCAGCCUUUGCAGAACCGGUGUGCCAACCGCCUCCCUGCGGGGUCUUUUUGCAGCAGAAGGUCGGGCCUCUCCCGACCUGCACGGUUCUGAGUCCCUGGCUGUUACUGGUGUGUUGGAAAGCAAUGACUCGUCAGAUGUUCCUGUAUACCUUUAUCUGUCUGCCUCCAAUUACUUUAUGAGCUCAUGAAAAUGAACACAAGGCAUCUUUGACAUUCCUCUCUCUCAUUUCCUCUCCUAUUUUUUACAUACGGCACUUUUGCCAAUAACUCUUUCCUAGUAAAACAAUGCCUCCGAAUUCA